CUGUGCUCUGGCAAGUGAGAUAACUCAAUGUCCUGCAAUUUCCCCACCCUGGCCAGGACUGUGUCUGCCUGGAGGAGAAAAUUUCCUUCAUUUUCCUGAAUUGGUGAGAGUGGGGAUGGGGGAGAGUAGAGCUCCUUAGAGUCCCACCAAAUGCUUCAGUGGGCCUAAUAGCUCCCUAUGCCUUCUCAUCACAUGUCCCCAAGUAUAGUGGAGAGGAUCUGGGUUGAUAAGAAAUAAGAAAGUCACUAAGAUCAGGGUGGCCUCAAUUUGUAAUUGGGUCCCCACGGUAAAGGCUGCUGAGGGAUGGAUUUUUCUUUUUCUUUUUUUUAAGUUCUUUCUACCUAGAGACUUAGCUGUGGUACCCUGCAAUAAGAAGUUCAAUUCCUCAAUAAGUUUUUAAUUUUGUAGAGGCAGGCAAAUUUAAAAAGGACAGC
rnacentral:lncRNA from 1 species